GUCGCACAAUUUACAAGAGCAUAAAUUGGAUUUGCAAAUCAAAACCUAAAACGGAAAACAUGUUUCUUAACAAGAAUAAAGACUGAUAAAAUACAAGAGACUCUUUUACAGAUGAAAGUAAAAAAAACAACUCUUGUCCUAGCUCUAGAAUUCAUGUCCUUGAAUGGUCACCAUGAGAAUGUCAAAGAGCAUCGCGCAUAACCUGCAAAAAGAUGACAAUGUCAAUAUGUGAAUAAGAGAAAAUGAUAUUUUAAUGACGUCGCUUCUUAUAAUAAAAUCGAGGCGACAAUACAUGCCCCACAAUCCUUAUUACGGGAUUUUAGUAUUUCGCCAAGAUUUUAUCAUAAGAGAAAACAUCAUUAAAAUUAUCAAUCCACGGCCAUCAAUCGAAUGUCCACUUUUAUUCCAAAAGUUUCGUAUGCAAAAGUGUUAUUGGUUUUUGAAAAAUUGAUUUGUGAUUUUUCUCAUAGAAAAUUAGAGUGAUUUCUAUUUUGAGGAAUUUGUACACAAAAUGAUUUGCAUUAUAGUCCCAAAAUGCGAGAAUGAGAAAAUUUGAUAAAAAUGCAAUUUCAAUUUGUGUCCCAAUAUAAUCACAACUUGAAAGUUUUUUUUUCUUUCUUUUUUUCGAAAUGAUUUUGAGCCCAUAACUAGAAAUUUAAACAGAACCAUGUGUUCAACAGGGCCAAAUCAAAAUGUUUAGAACUUGCAUUAAGAUGCUCACUUGUCAAAAGUGAUUGUCA
rnacentral:lncRNA from 1 species